AUGUACACCCGCAUCGGAAGAAAGUACCAGGAGCCGCCGCUCAAAUUCAUCGGUAUUGAGGCCCCGAAGACGGUUGCAGAGCCAGUAACAUAUCCAGUCCAUUUUGUUCGUGGUAUAUUGGUGCCGGUCGAGGAGUGGAACUUGUACAGAGACUUUUGUGCCAAAAGUUCGACCUGCACAAAUGAGCAGAUGGCAUGUCAUCUGUGUUGCUUUGAGGGGGCAGCUACCCUCAUUCAUCUCAAACGCGAUGCAAUUGUACAUCACAAAAACAGACACGCGUGGAGGGAUUCCAUCAACUGCACGGAAGAUGGGUGCCUUGUGCGUGCCAGAAACCAGCUUGACCUUGAUCGUCAUUGCUAUUUUGCGCAUCGUCUACCUCCUGAGUGGUGGACCACCACUUGA
rnacentral:rRNA from 1 species